GAUGGACGCUGGCGGCGUGCCUAACACAUGCAAGUCGAACGAAGCACCUUACCUGAUUCUUCGGAUGAAAGUCUGGUGACUGAGUGGCGGACGGGUGAGUAACGCGUGGGUAACCUGCCCUGUACAGGGGGAUAACAGCUGGAACCGGCUGCUAAUACCGCAUAAGCGCACGAGGAGACAUCUCCUUGUGUGAAAAACUCCGGUGGCACAGGAUGGGCCCGCGUCUGAUUAGCUGGUUGGCAGGGUAACGGCCUACCAAGGCAACGAUCAGUAGCCGGUCUGAGAGGAUGAACGGCCACAUUGGAACUGAGACACGGUCCGAACUCCUACGGGAGGCAGCAGUGGGGAAUAUUGCACAAUGGGGGAAACCCUGAUGCAGCAACGCCGCGUGAGUGAAGAAGUAUUUCGGUAUGUAAAGCUCUAUCAGCAGGGAAGAUAAUGACGGUACCUGACGAAGAAGCUCCGGCUAAAUACGUG
rnacentral:rRNA from 1 species